CGUAGGGGACGAGCGUUGUCCGGAUUCAUUGGGCGUAAAGCGCGCGUAGGCGGCUCGGAAAGUCGGGCGUGAAAUGCCGGGGCUCAACCCCGGGACUGCGUCCGAUACUUCCGAGCUGGAGGUAGGUAGGGGAGAUCGGAAUUCCUGGUGUAGCGGUGAAAUGCGCAGAUAUCAGGAGGAACACCGGUGGCGAAGGCGGAUCUCUGGGCCUUACCUGACGCUGAGGCGCGAAAGCUAGGGGAGCGAACAGGAUUAGAUACCCUGGUAGUCCUAGCCGUAAACGUUGGGUGCUAGGUGUGGGCGGACAUCGACCCCGUCCGUGCCGAAGCUAACGCAUUAAGCACCCCGCCUGGGGAGUACGGCCGCAAGGCUA
rnacentral:rRNA from 1 species